CUGGCAGAUUAUUUCACUUAUAAUAUAGGAAAAUGUCUUGUAAGCAAAAAAAUCAGCCAGUGGAACUAUAUUUUGCUCAAAAGCUACUUGUAAGUCAAUUUUGUCUUAUUUCAACAAGUUUUUCUAAGCUGUUUAUAUGAGCAGUUGAAACCCAAAUGGAAAUACAAAACUGAGCAAAAUGUGAAUUUUGCACAGCACAUUAAUAAACUUUCUUAUAUUCUG